UACGUAGGGUGCGAGCGUUAAUCGGAAUUACUGGGCGUAAAGCGUGCGCAGGCGGUUGUGCAAGACAGGCGUGAAAUCCCCGGGCUCAACCUGGGAAUGGCGCUUGUGACUGCACGGCUAGAGUACGGCAGAGGGGGGUGGAAUUCCACGUGUAGCAGUGAAAUGCGUAGAGAUGUGGAGGAACACCGAUGGCGAAGGCAGCCCCCUGGGCCGAUACUGACGCUCAUGCACGAAAGCGUGGGGAGCAAACAGG
rnacentral:rRNA from 1 species